GAGGAAAUAUAUAUAUAUAUAUAUAUUAAAAUAAAGGUCCGAACUUCCGUUUGUCUCAAGACAAUUGUUUUUUUUUUUUUUUACUUCGAACCUUCCGCUUUGAGGUGGAGGUCGGUGGUGGCGAUGGAGGCAUGGACAAGAUUGGGGACGUAAGAGCGGUCAAACGGAUGCCUCUUCAAUUAGACGUCGCCACCACCGCCGCAAGGGGAGUCGUGUAAGUGGGAGCAUUGGGAGCUCCGAUGCUACAUUACCUCCUCCCUGGCCAUCAUCAUCCCCGGUGUUGGCAUAAACACCAAGCCCAACCUCACCCUUGAGACCUGCGCGCACUAGAAACCCCUCGAGCACCUCCAACAGCAACAGCAGGUCGCCUUCGAUGAGUGAUCGCCAGCCUCGAUUGCCUCCCUCAAUCGGUCCCCAUAAGUUGCAGGAUAGUCAGCGAGAUCAGGUUGUGGAUGGUGUAUUAGUUGAUGGUACCAUAGACAUUUUAUAACCCUUAUAUGCAGUGGUACCAUCACAUUUGUCGUAUUGGUGCAAUAUUUGACUAUCUGGAGAUAUGCAUAUUAAUCCUCCAUGCCAUCGAUGAGUAUAGUCAUAUCUCCAUGGGUGUCUAUAGUCAUGGCCUCGGCACAUCAGACGACACUCCUUCACCUUUUCCACAUCUGUCAUCAUCGGGAGCAUCUCCUCCUACUUUGCACGGAUGAGAUGACAUGAGUCAUCAAGGAGUUUUAUAUCAUGCAAGAAGCUAUACAAGUGAGGAAGCUAUACAGGAGGCUGUCACACAAAUAAAACUACAUAUCAAGGAGCAUGAGGGGCCUGGUGAAACUAAACCUAUGCAUCGUUAGAAGCAACCUGCAUGGAAGAAGAGACGGCCAUCAUGUGGAACAUGAUUUUUUUGUUUUAUUAUAUUUAUAUAUCACAUGGACAUGAUUUUUUUUUAAAAAUAAAGUUUACAUUAUUCUCUAAA